rnacentral:misc_RNA from 1 species
AACGCACAUUGCGCCUUCUGGUAUUCCGGGAGGCAUGCCUGUCCGAGCAUCAUGAAAACCACUCGGCACUCCGUUCUGUCGGAGCGCUGGUCUUGGAGCCUUGGGGCUGAGCACAUCUCAGCCCCUCUCCGAAAACCAAUGGCGAAGUUCCACAACUCCUAGAGCGUAGUAAACGUUAGUCUCGCUGGAAAGGGAGGUGGUGCGAAUUACUGCUGUCAAAAGACCCCCCUCAAAGGUUGGCCUCGGAUCAGGUAGGGAUACCCGCUGAACUUAA